rnacentral:lncRNA from 1 species
GGGAUUCACUCUACCCACCAGGUCUUAAGAAACCUACUGCUCACAUCCUCUCCUCAUUCCAGUUCCCACAUAUCCCCCCGGAACAAGGGAUGGACAGAGCCAAAGUUUCUGUGGCUAUCUCCUGAUUGGCCUUUACCUCCCAAAUGAUGUGCAUACAAACAAACUAGUCAGAGCCAUCUUAAGCUUUCUAAAAGUCCUCUUUGUCCGCAGCCCUCUUUCAUGUCCCCACAGGUCAACCAAAAUCUUUCACUGUGGCUUAAUAAAUCCCCCCACAAAGCUCUUGUCACUGACCAUGUAUCUAAUCCUUCAUAGUCUAGAACACGGCAGUGAAGAAAGCCCAAGUCACUGGCAUCUCCUGUGUGACAUGUACAUGUCGUAAAUCUGUUUGCGCCUGAUAACUUCAGAAAGAUGACAAGGAUUCGUACUUGGAAGGGAAGUGGACCAGAUUGCAUUCCAAUCCUGCUAAAUACUGUGCAACUUCAGAAAAAUGAUCCACCUUUCUGAGUCAGGGUAGUGGUCUCCAGCUGUGAGUUCAUUUCAUAGUUCAUCAUGGUUGACUGUGGAAAACUAGAUAGUAAACACAGAAGGUGCCCAGGCUAUACAAGUAUUUCAGCUAAUCAAUCAAUCAAUCAAAAUUUAAACUAGGCGCUUUCUUUAAAAGUCUUGAUUCAGUACCCCGAAGAAAGCCAAGCCUAACUUAAUAAACAGGACAUUUUUAAAAUACAUGUGAUUGUAUUUGCUAAAAGCCAACAUAUCCUGUCUGCAGAGCACAGCCUCCCCCUGGUGCAUUUCCCUUCUUCAGAAGUAUACCUGAUUUCUCCAAGUUUUUUGUUUUCUCUGACCUCAGUCUUUCCUGGACCUAGACCCUGGCUUGCAGGCAUCCCUGUGGCUGCCUGUGUCCUGCACAUGUCUACGAUGCUUCACCAAAGCAAUUCUUGCUCUUGAAU